UACGGGGGGGGCAAGCGUUGUUCGGAAUUACUGGGCGUAAAGGGCUCGUAGGCGGCCAACUAAGUCAGACGUGAAAUCCCUCAGCUUAACUGGGGAACUGCGUCUGAUACUGGAUGGCUUGGAUUCGGGAGAGGAAUGCGGAAUUCCAGGUGUAGCGGUGAAAUGCGUAGAUAUCUGGAGGAACACCGGUGGCGAAGGCGGCAUCCUGGACCGAUACUGACGCUGAGGAGCGAAAGCCAGGGGAGCAAACGGG
rnacentral:rRNA from 1 species